rnacentral:rRNA from 1 species
GGUGGAGUGAUUUGUCUGGUUUAUUCCGAUAACGAGCGAGACUCUAACCUACUAAAUAGUGACGGGAUAAUUUCGUCUUAGUUACUUCUUAGAGGGAUUAGUGGUGUUUAGCCACACUAGAUUGAGCGAUAACAGGUCUGUGAUGCCCUUAGAUGUCCGGGGCAGCACGCGUGCUACAAUGGUGGUAACAGCGUGAUUGUCCUCGCCCGAGAGGGCUUGGCAAACAGUUGAGAUAUUAUUAUGGCUGGAAUUGAGUGUUGAAAUUUUCUCUUAAACGAGGAAUUCCUAGUAAGUGUGAGUCAUUAGCUCACGUUGAAUACGUCCCUGCCCUUUGUAC